rnacentral:rRNA from 1 species
GACGAACGCUGGCGGCGUGCUUAACACAUGCAAGUCGAACGGAAAGGCCCUGCUUUUGUGGGGUGCUCGAGUGGCGAACGGGUGAGUAACACGUGAGUAACCUGCCCUUGACUUUGGGAUAACUUCAGGAAACUGGGGCUAAUACCGGAUAGGAGCUCCUGCUGCAUGGUGGGGGUUGGAAAGUUUCGGCGGUUGGGGAUGGACUCGCGGCUUAUCAGCUUGUUGGUGGGGUAGUGGCUUACCAAGGCUUUGACGGGUAGCCGGCCUGAGAGGGUGACCGGACACAUUGGGACUGAGAUACGGGCCAGACUCCUAAGGGAGGCAGCAGUGGGGAAUAUUGCACAAUGGGCGGAAGCCUGAUGCAGCAACGCCGCGUGCGGGAUGACGGCCUUCGGGUUGUAAACCGCUUUCGCCUGUGACGAAGCGUGAGUGACGGUAAUGGGUAAAGAAGCACCGGCUAACUACGUG